rnacentral:rRNA from 1 species
UACGAGGGGGCGAGCGUUGUUCGGAAUUAUUGGGCGUAAAGGGCGCGUAGGCGGUGCGGUAAGUCACCUGUGAAACCCCCGGGCUCAACUCGGGGCCUGCAGGCGAAACUGCCGUGCUGGAGUGCGGAAGAGGUGAGUGGAAUUCCCGGAUGUAGCGGUGAAAUGCGUAGAUAUCGGGAGGAACACCUGUGGCGAAAGCGGCUCACUGGACCGCAACUGACGCUGA